AUUGAACGCUGGCGGCAUGCCUAACACAUGCAAGUCGGACGAGUGGCGGACGGGUGAGUAAUAUAUUGGAACGUACCGAGUAAUGGGGGAUAACCAAUCGAAAGAGUGGCUAAUACCGCAUACUAUUCGAGCGGCCAAGAUCUGAUUAGCUAGUAGGUGGGGUAAAGGCCGACCAAGGCGACGAUCAGUAGCGGGUCUGAGAGGAUGACCCGCCACACUGGAACUGAGACACGGCCCAGACUCCUACGGGAGGCAGCAGUGGGGAAUUUUGGACAAUGGGCGCAAGCCUGAUCCAGCCAUGCCGCGUGUCUGAAGAAGGCCUUCGGGUUGUAAAGGACUUUUGUUGGGGAAGCGGUACCUAAAGAAUAAGCACCGGCUAACUACGUGCCAGCCGCCGCGGUAAUAC
rnacentral:rRNA from 1 species